rnacentral:rRNA from 2 species
UCGGGAAUAUUGCGCAAUGGAGGAAACUCUGACGCAGUGACGCCGCGUGCAGGAAGAAGGUUUUCGGAUUGUAAACUGCUUUAGACAGGGAAGAGAAAGGACAGUACCUGUAGAAUAAGCUCCGGCUAACUACGUGCCAGCAGCCGCGGUAAUACGUAGGGAGCGAGCGUUAUCCGGAUUUAUUGGGUGUAAAGGGUGCGUAGACGGGAAUACAAGUUAGUUGUGAAAUACCUCGGCUUAACUGAGGAACUGCAACUAAAACUAUAUUUCUUGAGUGCAGGAGAGGUAAGUGGAAUUCCUAGUGUAGCGGUGAAAUGCGUAGAUAUUAGGAGGAACACCAGUGGCGAAGGCGACUUACUGGACUGAAACUGACGUUGAGGCACGAAAGUGUGGGGAGCAAACAGG